rnacentral:rRNA from 1 species
GACGUAGGGCGCGAGCGUUGUCCGGAUUUAUUGGGCGUAAAGAGCUCGUAGGCGGCUUGUUGCGUCGACUGUGAAAACCCGCGGCUUAACUGCGGGCUUGCAGUUGAUACGGGCAGGCUAGAGUUCGGUAGGGGAGACUGGAAUUCCUGGUGUAGCGGUGAAAUGCGCAGAUAUCAGGAAGAACACCCGUGGCUAAGGCGGUUCUCUAGUACGGUACUGACGCUGAGACGCGAAAGCGUGGGGAGCGAACAGG